GAAAAAAAAGGGAAGCUGUUGGCAUCCAACUCCCAUUUUCAUAUUCUAUCCCACUCUUUUAUUUCGUUUGCCCAUCAAACUCAGACUUAUCCUUAUGAUGAUGAACAAGCCUUUCUGAAGCUUAUUUAAAAGCUUCUGAACACAAUAAUACUCAC
ensembl:ncRNA F57F10.5 ncRNA